CAGGGCCCAAGGAAGGAAACGCAAGGGUCAUGAGCAGUGGAGGCCACAGGAGCUACCAGUGAGACACUAGCAAGCAGUGAUGAGCUCCACAGAGAUGGAACGGCCUUGGGGGACACUGGCAGCAGGGCCUGCCAGGAGGAGCCUCAACACAUUGGGGGGACAAGGGGCCUUGUGACCGGGAUGGGGUCCUUGGGAAGGAGCACACAGAAAUCAUCAAGCACCAAGGCCCUGGGGCAGACAUCAACGACUGUAUGGAUGUGGGCUCCACAUCCAGCGCAGAGCCCAACGCAGGAGUUGAACUCAGACCCUGAGGUCGAGACCUGAGCUGAGAUCGAUUCAGAUGCUUAACCGACUGAGCUCCCCAGGCGCCCCUGAUUCUCUACCUUCUGAGCACCCAAGCUGGUUCAUGGAUCCACAUGGGGAGUUCCAACAAGGGUUGCUUCUGGUCCUCUUUGAGAGCCACGCCCACCCCCCUGCCCCUCGCCCCUGCCCUGCCCUGUGCUCGCAGCAACCACUCAUCUGCCCUCAUUCCUAAAACUAUGUCGUCUCAGUACUGCACAAAGGGAGUCAGGCGGCGAGUAACCUGCUGAGAUCGGCUGUUCUGCUCGUGUCCUUGUAUUGAUUGCCAAUAGUUGUGGUAGAAGCAAGAAGAGCUGAUGUUGCAGAUGAGGUCAGAAGGCAGUCUGCUGGAGAAUUCCCUCUCGCCUUGGGGAGGUCUGCCUUUUGUGCUCUUCAGGCCUUCAACUGAUUGGACGAGGCCCACCAACAUUAUAGUGGGCAAACUUCACUCAAAGUCCACCAAUUUAAAUGUAACUGUUGGGGUACCUGGGUGGCUCAGUGGGUUAAAGCCUCUGCC